rnacentral:rRNA from 1 species
GAUGAACGCUAGCGACAGGCCUAACACAUGCAAGUCGAGGGGCAGCACAAGGAGCAAUCUGAGGUGGCGACCGGCGCACGGGUGAGUAACACGUAUGCAACCUGCCUGUAAGAAGGGAAUAACCCGGAGAAAUUCGGACUAAUACCGCAUAAUACCACGAGACUGCAUGGUUUUGUGGUUAAACAUUUAUGGCUUACAGAUGGGCAUGCGUAUGAUUAGCUAGUAGGUGAGGUAACGGCUCACCUAGGCAACGAUCAUUAGGGGUUCUGAGAGGAAGGUCCCCCACACUGGUACUGAGACACGGACCAGACUCCUACGGGAGGCAGCAGUGAGGAAUAUUGGUCAAUGGGCGAGAGCCUGAACCAGCCAAGUCGCGUGAAGGAAGAAGGUUCUAUGGAUUGUAAACUUCUUUUGUAAGGGAAUAAAAAGUGGUACGUGUACCAUAUUGUAUGUACUUUACGAAUAAGGAUCGGCUAACUCCGUGCCAGCAGCCGCCGUAAGAC